rfam:Erysipelotrichaceae bacterium 3_1_53 genomic scaffold supercont1.4, whole genome shotgun sequence.
AGGAGCCGUGUACCGAACGGUACGCACGGUUCUGUGGAAGGGGCGAAGUAUUUUAAUUACUAGCCUCUAUCCGAU